AUUGAACGCUGGCGGCAGGCUUAACACAUGCAAGUCGAACGAGUGGCGGACGGGUGAGUAAUGCUUGGGAAUCUAGCUUAUGGAGGGGGAUAACUACGGGAAACUGUAGCUAAUACCGCGUACCAUAGGAUGAGCCCAAGUGGGAUUAGGUAGUUGGUGAGGUAAAGGCUCACCAAGCCGACGAUCUCUAGCUGGUCUGAGAGGAUGACCAGCCACACGGGGAUUGAGACACGGCCCAGACUCCUACGGUAGGCAGCAGUGGGGAAUAUUGCGCAAUGGGGGCAACCCUGACGCAGCCAUGCCGCGUGAAUGAAGAAGGCCUUCGGGGUGUAAAGUUCUUUCGGUAGCGAGGCGUUACCCGCAGAAGAAGCACCGGCUAACUCCGUGCCAGCCGCCGCGGUAAUUC
rnacentral:rRNA from 1 species